rnacentral:rRNA from 1 species
GAUGAACGCUGGCGGCGUGCCUAAUACAUGCAAGUCGAGCGAACAGAUGAGGAGCUUGCUCCUCUGACGUUAGCGGCGGACGGGUGAGUAACACGUGGAUAACCUACCUAUAAGACUGGGAUAACUUCGGGAAACCGGAGCUAAUACCGGAUAAUAUAUUGAACCGCAUGGUUCAAUAGUGAAAGACGGUUUUGCUGUCACUUGUAGAUGGAUCCGCGCCGCAUUAGCUAGUUGGUAAGGUAAAGGCUUACCAAGGCAACGAUGCGUAGCCGACCUGAGAGGGUGAUCGGCCACACUGGAACUGAGACACGGUCCAGACUCCUACGGGAGGCAGCAGUAGGGAAUCUUCCGCAAUGGGCGAAAGCCUGACGGAGCAACGCCGCGUGAGUGAUGAAGGUCUUCGGAUCGUGAAACUCUGUUAUUAGGGAAGAACAAAUGUGUAAGUAACUAUGCACGUCUUGACGGUACCUAAUCAGAAAGCCACGGCUAACUACGUG